rnacentral:rRNA from 1 species
UACGUAGGGGGCAAGCGUUGUCCGGAUUCAUUGGGCGUAAAGAGCUCGUAGGCGGCUUGGCAAGUCGGGUGUGAAACCUCCAGGCUCAACCUGGAGACGCCACCCGAUACUGCCAUGGCUAGAGUCCGGUAGGGGACCACGGAAUUCCUGGUGUAGCGGUGAAAUGCGCAGAUAUCAGGAGGAACACCGGUGGCGAAGGCGGGUCUCUGGGCCGAAAUUGACGCUGAGGAGCGAAAGCGUGGGGAGCAAACAGG